UACGUAGGGGGCUAGCGUUGUCCGGAUUUAUUGGGCGUAAAGAGCUCGUAGGUGGUUCGGUAAGUCGGAUGUGAAAUCUCCAGGCUCAACCUGGAGGGGUCAUUCGAUACUGCCGUGACUAGAGGUCGGUAGGGGAGUGUGGAAUUCCUGGUGGAGCGGUGAAAUGCGUAGAGAUCGGGCGGAACACCAGCGGCGAAGGCGGCAUCCUGGCCCUGUCCUGACGCUGAGGCGCGAGAGCGUGGGGAGCAAACCGG
rnacentral:rRNA from 1 species